rnacentral:rRNA from 1 species
UACGAAGGGGGGCUAGCGUUGCUCGGAAUCACUGGGCGUAAAGGGCGCGUAGGCGGAUCUUUAAGUCGGGGGUGAAAGCCUGUGGCUCAACCACAGAAUUGCCUUCGAUACUGGGGGAUCUCGAGACCGGAAGAGGUGAGUGGAACUGCGAGUGUAGAGGUGAAAUUCGUAGAUAUUCGCAAGAACACCAGUGGCGAAGGCGGCUCACUGGUCCGGUUCUGACGCUGAGGCGCGAAAGCGUGGGGAGCAAACAGG